GAUCAUGGCUCAGGAUGAACGCUAGCUACAGGCUUAACACAUGCAAGUCGAGGGGCAGCAGGAGCUUAGCUUGCUAAGUUGCUGGCGACCGGCGCACGGGUGAGUAACGCGUAUCCAACCUCCCCUUAGUAGAGGAUAGCCCGGUGAAAAUCGGAUUAAUACUCUAUGUUGUUCAAUGCAGGCAUCUAAGUUGAACCAAAGAUUUAUCGCUAAGGGAUGGGGAUGCGUCUGAUUAGGUAGUCGGCGGGGUAACGGCCCACCGAGCCAUCGAUCAGUAGGGGUUCUGAGAGGAAGGUCCCCCACAUUGGAACUGAGACACGGUCCAAACUCCUACGGGAGGCAGCAGUGAGGAAUAUUGGUCAAUGGGCGAGAGCCUGAACCAGCCAAGUAGCGUGCAGGAAGACGGCCCUAUGGGUUGUAAACUGCUUUUAUAUAGGGAUAAAGUGCAUCACGUGUGGUGUUUUGUAGGUACUAUAUGAAUAAGGACCGGCUAAUUCCGUGCCAGCAGCCGC
rnacentral:rRNA from 1 species